rnacentral:rRNA from 1 species
AACGAACGCUGGCGGCAGGCUUAACACAUGCAAGUCGAACGCCCCGCAAGGGGAGUGGCAGACGGGUGAGUAACGCGUGGGAAUCUACCUAGAACUACGGAACAACUGAGGGAAACUUCAGCUAAUACCGUAUACGCCCUACGGGGGAGAGAUUUAUCGGUUCUAGAUGAGCCCGCGUAAGAUUAGCUAGUUGGUGGGGUAAUGGCCUACCAAGGCGACGAUCUUUAGCUGGUCUGAGAGGAUGAUCAGCCACACUGGGACUGAGACACGGCCCAGACUCCUACGGGAGGCAGCAGUGGGGAAUAUUGGACAAUGGGCGCAAGCCUGAUCCAGCCAUGCCGCGUGAGUGAUGAAGGCCUUAGGGUUGUAAAGCUCUUUCAGUGGGGAAGAUAAUGUCGGUACCCACAGAAGAAGCCCCGGCUAACUUCGUGCCAGCAGCCGCGGUAAGAC